rnacentral:rRNA from 1 species
GAUGAACGCUGGCGGCGUGCCUAAUACAUGCAAGUCGAGCGAACAGACGAGGAGCUUGCUACUCUGACGUUAGCGGCGGACGGGUGAGUAACACGUGGAUAACCUACCUAUAAGACUGGGAUAACUUCGGGAAACCGGAGCUAAUACCGGAUAAUAUAUUGAACCGCAUGGUUCAAUAGUGAAAGACGGUUUUGCUGUCACUUAUAGAUGGAUCCGCGCCGCAUUAGCUAGUUGGUAAGGUAACGGCUUACCAAGGCAACGAUGCGUAGCCGACCUGAGAGGGGGGGGGGCCACAGGGGAAGUGAGACAGGGCCGAGACACCGGGGGGGGGACACGGACGGGACUCUUACGGAAGGGGGGAAGGCGGAACGGAGCGCCGCGGGGUGAGGGAUGAAGUUUUCAGGACGGAAAAACUUUUUAAUUAGGAAAAAAAAAAUGUGAAAUAACCUGGGCCGUUCUGGACGGUACCUAAUAAAAAAGCCCCGGCUAACUACGUG